rnacentral:rRNA from 1 species
CCCAGACUCCUACGGGAGGCAGCAGUGGGGAAUAUUGCACAAUGGGGGAAACCCUGAUGCAGCGACGCCGCGUGAGUGAAGAAGUAUUUCGGUAUGUAAAGCUCUAUCAGCAGGGAAGAUAAUGACGGUACCUGACUAAGAAGCCCCGGCUAACUACGUGCCAGCAGCCGCGGUAAUACGUAGGGGGCAAGCGUUAUCCGGAUUUACUGGGUGUAAAGGGUGCGCAGGUGGCAGGGCAAGUCAGAUGUGAAAGCCCGGGGCUCAACCCCGGUAUUGCAUUUGAAACUGUCCGGCUAGAGUGCAGGAGAGGUAAGCGGAAUUCCUAGUGUAGCGGUGAAAUGCGUAGAUAUUAGGAGGAACACCAGUGGCGAAGGCGGCUUACUGGACUGUAACUGACACUGAGGCACGAAAGCGUGGGGAGCAAACAGGAUUAGAUACCCGCGUA